GCCCUCGUAGCUCAGGGGAUAGAGCGCGGCUCUCCUAAAGCGGGUGUCGCAGGUUCGAAUCCUGCCGGGGGCACCA
rnacentral:tRNA from 1 species